UGGAGAGUUCCAGUUGUGUUUCGUCGUUCUCGGGACAACCUACUGCCUAGUCUUCUUCUUCCUUCGGUUUCAAAACUCAAUUUCUUUCGCAUGGGAACUUUUUAAAACGCGUUCGAAAAUUUCUCAGGGCUCCUUCUUUUUAUUUCCAGUCCCGUCGAAGAUCAAAUCCGGAGAAAUGACCACGAACAUUUGUGGACGGCAUAAACAUUUCAGAAACCCCAAUCGGUCUCGUUCCGUGUCAAUUUAGUCAAUGGGUUUGAAACCGACCGAAUACAAGAAAAGAGUUUUAUUUUAAAGGAGUCACAGAGUCAAUACUGAGUAUAACUAAAAAGGUAUAAUAAAUAUGGCGUGAUGAACGAAGAAGAAUUGGUGCAACGAGCUGCUGAUGAACGUGCAGCAAUCGUUGCCAAAUAUAGACUUGGUAGGAGAGAUGGAGCCAAGAUUGAUUCCUGGGAAGAGCCGACAUUCGAAAUAUACCAUGUCCUCGACAGAUAUGGGUUUAUUCACGACAGGAAUAAACAUUACAGUGAUGAGAGGAUCACCGAAUCAGCUGGCCCGGCUGAGAUCAAGAUUGAAAGGGAAAGGGAGAAAAAAUGGCUCAAGAUGCUCUCCCAGUGGAAUCUGGUCUCCGGGACGGAAAAGCUCAAACGAAGGGUCUUCAAAGGAAUACCAAACAGUUUAAGAGGGAAGGCAUGGAUGCAGAUACUCAAUCUGGAAAAUCUCCGCAAAGAUCAGCAUGGAAAAUAUCAGGAGAUGCGAGAACUUGCUUGGAAAUGGUCACCUGAUAUUAGACAAAUAGAUUUGGAUGUAAAUAGAACAUAUCGUGACCAUAUUAUGUUCAGGGAACGCUACAAUUCUAAGCAACAGGAGCUGUUCAAUGUUCUCGGUGCUUAUAGUAUGUAUAACUUGGAAAUUGGCUAUUGCCAAGGGAUGUCGCAGAUAGCAGCACUUCUACUUAUGUAUUUAGAUGAAGAGGAUGCUUUCUGGGCUUUGUCAAUAUUAGUUUCGGAUAAAAGAUACAAUAUGCAUGGUUUCUUUAUUCCCGGAUUCCCUAAAUUAUUGCGUUACCAGGAACAUCAUGAUAAAAUCAUGCAUAAAUUUUUGCCUAAAUUAAAAAAGCAUUUGGACAAAAAUGGUGUUGAUACUGGAAUAUAUACAUUAAAAUGGUUCUUUCAAUGUUUUUUAGAUAGGAUACCUUUCAGAUUGACUUUAAGAGUAUGGGACGUUUAUUUAAUGAUAGGGGAAAGAGUGCUGACCGCUAUGGCUUACAACCUGUUGAAAUUACACAGACGAAAGUUAAGUAGCAUAGGGAUGGAUGAUAUACUUCAUUUCCUUCAAGUGCAUUUAGAAAAAAAGUUCGAAGUAGAUGAUGAUGUAGCCAUGGAAAGUCUUGCAAGGUGCUUAGAAGAACUGCGGAAAAGUAAAUUGGAUUAUGCAGGGCUACCACCUCCACAUGAGCUUCCGAAACAAGCAUUCGGAAUUUUUAAAGAGCCUACCUUUGAACAAAAGGUUGGUAGACGAAGCAUGGAGUUCAGUAAUGUUGAGAAAUCUGCUCGUGAAAGUGUCAUACUUAGAAGGGAUACGGCUGCAGCCGCUGCGCUGGUUGACUCUCCGACUCAAGAAAUCGCUCCAAACGGUCACGCCAGACAUUCCCACGAUGAGACGACACUCCCUGAUCCUCAAGCCUCUUCAAACCCCACUUUUCCAAUCAUCGCAACAAAAUUCAGCCUGCCCCUGAAUAGCGAUGAAUGAGUGAGGCAUUAACUCAAUCAUACACGCACAAAACCUUCCUUGGAUUAGAGUUUUCGAGACCAACAGGACACUGACUGCCGACUCCUUGAUAUUUCUUUAUAAUAAUGGGUUCCAAAUUUUCCCUAGAACAAAGCAUGGAUGAUGGAAGUUCAUUACUCGGUGAAGGCUCUCAUAGGUCAUUAGCUGAAACGAGCAUC
rnacentral:misc_RNA from 1 species